UGCCAGCCGCCGCGGUAAUACGGAGGGGGUUAGCGUUGUUCGGAAUUACUGGGCGUAAAGCGCGCGUAGGCGGUUAAUUAAGUCAGAUGUGAAAUCCCCGGGCUCAACCUGGGAAUGGCCUCUGAUACUGGUUAACUAGAGUUUGGAAGAGGGGAGUAGAAUUUCAGGUGUAGCGGUGAAAUGCAUAGAGAUCUGAAGGAAUACCGGUGGCGAAGGCGACUCCCUGGUCCAGAACUGACGCUGAGGUGCGAAAGCGUGGGUAGCAAACGGGAUUAGAUA
rnacentral:rRNA from 1 species